rnacentral:lncRNA from 1 species
GAAAGAUCUCCCAUGCUCAUGGAUUGGCAGGAUUAAUUUAGUAAAAAUGGCCAUUUUACCAAAAGCAAUCUACAGAUUCAAUGCAAUCCCCAUCAAAAUACCAAUCCAAUUCUUCAAAGAGUUAGACAGAACAGUUUGCAAAUUCAUCUGGAAUAACAAAAAACCCAGGAUAGCUAAAGCUAUCCUCAACAAUAAAAGGACUUCAGGGGGAAUCACUAUCCCUGAACUCAAGCAGUAUUACAGAGCAAUAGUGAUAAAAACUGCAUGGUAUUGGUACAGAGACAGACAGAUAGACCAAUGGAAUAGAAUUGAAGACCCAGAAAUG